rnacentral:tRNA from 1 species
GUUUUAUUAGUAUAAAAAGUACACCUAAUUUCCAAUUAGAAAGUUUCUUAAAAAUAAAACA